ACGAACGCUGGCGGCGUGCUUAACACAUGCAAGUCGAACGGAAAGGCCCUGCUUUUGUGGGGUGCUCGAGUGGCGAACGGGUGAGUAACACGUGAGUAACCUGCCCUUGACUUUGGGAUAACUUCAGGAAACUGGGGCUAAUACCGGAUAGGAGCUCCUGCUGCAUGGUGGGGGUUGGAAAGUUUCGGCGGUUGGGGAUGGACUCGCGGCUUAUCAGCUUGUUGGUGGGGUAGUGGCUUACCAAGGCUUUGACGGGUAGCCGGCCUGAGAGGGUGACCGGCCACAUUGGGACUAAGAGACGGCCCAGACUCCUACGGGAGGCAGCAGUGGGGAAUAUUGCGCAAUGGGCGGAAGCCUGAUGCAGCAACGCCGCGUGCGGGAUGACGGCCUUCGGGUUGUAAACCGCUUUCGCCUGUGACGAAGCGUGAGUGACGGUAAUGGGUAAAGAAGCACCGGCUAACUACGUG
rnacentral:rRNA from 1 species